GAUGAACGCUAGCUACAGGCUUAACACAUGCAAGUCGAGGGGAAACGACAUCGAAAGCUUGCUUUUGAUGGGCGUCGACCGGCGCACGGGUGAGUAACGCGUAUCCAACCUGCCCACCACUUGGGGAUAACCUUGCGAAAGUAAGACUAAUACCCAAUGAUAUCUUUAGAAGACAUCUGAAAGGGAUUAAAGAUUUAUCGGUGAUGGAUGGGGAUGCGUCUGAUUAGCUCGUUGGCGGGGUAACGGCCCACCAAGGCGACGAUCAGUAGGGGGUCUGAGAGGAAGGUCCCCCACAUUGGAACUGAGACACGGUCCAAACUCCUACGGGAGGCAGCAGUGAGGAAUAUUGGUCAAUGGGCGAGAGCCUGAACCAGCCAAGUAGCGUGCAGGAUGACGGCCCUAUGGGUUGUAAACUGCUUUUAUAAGGGAAUAAAGUGGGAGUCGUGACUCCUUUUGCAUGUACCUUAUGAAUAAGGACCGGCUAAUUCCGUGCCAGCCGCCGCAGUAA
rnacentral:rRNA from 1 species